rnacentral:piRNA from 1 species
UACCGCACACAGGCAUAAUGCACCGUA